UUAAGAAUAUGUGUAAGAAUUGAGAAUAAAUAUUUACUUUUUAUUUUAGAAAUGAACACACAAGAAAAUUUAAACGACGAUGAUGGUGACUUUUUUAGAAAAAAAUUAGAAGAUUUACAAAAGUCCAUAGGUGAGCAAAAUUGCUUUU
rnacentral:lncRNA from 1 species